CAAUAGCGUAUAUUAAAGUUGUUGCGGUUAAAAGCUCGUAGUUGGAUUUCUGCCGAGGACGACCGGUCCGCCCUCUGGGUGAGUAUCUGGCUUGGCCUGGGCAUCUUCUUGGAGAACGUAGCUGCACUUGACUGUGUGGUGCGGUAUCCAGGACUUUUACUUUUUGAGGAAAUUAGAGUGUUUCAAGCAGGCAUGCGCCUUGAAUACAUUAGCAUGGAAUAAUAAGAUAGGACCUCGGUUCUAUUUUGUUGGUUCUAGAGCUGAGGUAACGAUUAAUAGGGAUAGUUGGGGGCAUUCGUAUUUAACUGUCAGAGGUGAAAUUCUUGGAUUUGUUAAAGACGGACAAUUGCGAAAGCAUUUGCCAAGGAUGUUUUCAUUAAUCAAGUAACGAAAGUUGGGGCGUCGAAGGACGAUCAGAUACCA
rnacentral:rRNA from 1 species